rnacentral:rRNA from 1 species
GCUACAGGCUUAACACAUGCAAGUCGAGGGGCAGCACAGUGUAGCAAUACACGGGUGGCGACCGGCGCACGGGUGCGUAACGCGUAUCCAACCUUCCCGUUACUCUUGGAUAGCCUUCCGAAAGGGAGAUUAAUACAGGAUGGUGUUUGAAUUCCGCAUGUUAUUCAAACUAAAGAUUUAUCGGUAACGGAUGGGGAUGCGUGACAUUAGGUAGAUGGCGGGGUAACGGCCCACCAUGCCUACGAUGUCUAGGGGUUCUGAGAGGAAGGUCCCCCACACUGGAACUGAGACACGGUCCAGACUCCUACGGGAGGCAGCAGUGAGGAAUAUUGGUCAAUGGCCGGAAGGCUGAACCAGCCAAGUAGCGUGAAGGAUGAAGGUUCUAUGGAUUGUAAACUUCUUUUAUACGGGAAUAAAACCACCUACGUGUAGGUGCUUGUAUGUACCGUGUGAAUAAGCAUCGGCUAACUCCGUGCCAGCAGCCGCGGUAAUACGGAGGAUGCGAGCGUUAUCCGGAUUUAUUGGGUUUAAAGGGAGCGUAGGUGGUUUGUUAAGCCAGCUGUGAAAUACUGUAGCUCAACUACAGCCGUGCAGUUGGAACUGGCAGACUUGAGUGCACUAGAGGAAGGUGGAAUUCGUGGUGUAGCGGUGAAAUGUUUAGAUAUCACG